rnacentral:rRNA from 1 species
CUACCGGGGUUUCUAAUCCUGUUUGCUCCCCACGCUUUCGUGCAUGAGCGUCAGUACAGGCCCAGGGGAUUGCCUUCGCCAUCGGUGUUCCUCCGCAUAUCUACGCAUUUCACUGCUACACGCGGAAUUCCAUCCCCCUCUGCCGUACUCCAGCGAUGCAGUCACAGAUGCAGUUCCCAGGUUGAGCCCGGGGAUUUCACAACUGUCUUACAUCACCGCCUGCGCACGCUUUACGCCCAGUAAUUCCGAUUAACGCUUGCACCCUACGUAUUACCGCGGCUGCUGGCAC